rnacentral:rRNA from 1 species
CAGCAGCCGCGGUAAUACGUAGGUGGCAAGCAUUGUCCGGAAUUAUUGGGCGUAAAGGGCUCGCAGGCGGUUUCUUAAGUCUGAUGUGAAAGCCCCCGGCUCAACCGGGGAGGGUCAUUGGAAACUGGGAAACUUGAGUGCAGAAGAGGAGAGUGGAAUUCCACGUGUAGCGGUGAAAUGCGUAGAGAUGUGGAGGAACACCAGUGGCGAAGGCGACUCUCUGGUCUGUAACUGACGCUGAGGAGCGAAAGCGUGGGGAGCGAACAGGAUUAGAUACCCCUGUAGUCCCUGUCUCUUAUAC